rnacentral:lncRNA from 1 species
UCGGACAGUCCAGAUCAAACAUGCGCACAGACGGCCCAGAUUCACGUGCACGGACGGCCCAGAUUGCAUCGCGAUGAACGGCUCAGAUUUAAUUCCAAUUAAAUCGCGAUCGAACGGUCCAGAUUUAAUCUUGAUGGACGGUUGAGAUUAAAGGCAAAGGGUAUAAAUAACCCCACCCACACCUGACCACAAAAACCCUAGCCGCCAGUGCCUUGCCGGAGAAGAAGAACCAGACGCCGGAGGAGCCGGUCGCCGCCACCCGCCGCCGCAUCGGGGAAGUUUUCGACCGCCGAUCGAGGUAAAUUUUCUCCCCCUUGCUUGUUUUUCGAUGCUGAGUCCUCCUGUGGCCAAACCGG